rnacentral:rRNA from 1 species
AUUGAACGCUGGCGGCAGGCCUAACACAUGCAAGUCGAGCGAGCGGCGGUGGGGUGAGGAAGGUAGGGGGACUGCCCGAUAGAGGCGGAUAACAACGGGAAACGGAAGCUAAUACCGCAUACUAUCGGAUAACCCAGAUGGGAUUAGCUAGUAGGUGAGGUAAUGGCUCACCUAGGCGACGAUCCCUAGCUGGUCUGAGAGGAUGAUCAGCCACACUGGGACUGAGACACGGCCCAGACUCCUACGGAGGCAGCAGUGGGGAAUAUUGCACAAUGGGCGCAAGCCUGAUGCAGCCAUGCCGCGUGUAUGAAGAAGGCCCUAGGGUUGUAAAGUACUUUCAGUCGGGAGGCGUUACCGACAGAAGAAGCACCGGCUAACUCCGUGCCAGCAGCCGCGGUAAUAC